UACGUAGGGUGCGAGCGUUGUCCGGAAUUAUUGGGCGUAAAGAGCUCGUAGGCGGCUUGUCGCGUCGGAUGUGAAAGCCCGGGGCUUAACUCCGGGUCUGCAUUCGAUACGGGCAGGCUAGAGUUCGGUAGGGGAGAUCGGAAUUCCUGGUGUAGCGGCGAAAUGCGCAGAUAUCAGGAAGAACACCCGUGGCGAAGGCGGCUCUCUGGGACGGUACUGACGCUGAGACGCGAAAGCGUGGGGAGCGAACAGG
rnacentral:rRNA from 1 species